UCAGGACGAACGCUGGCGGCGUGCCUAACACAUGCAAGUCGAACGAGAAUCUACUUAUGAAAUUUUCGGAUGGAUUAGGUAGAGGAAAGUGGCGAACGGGUGAGUAACGCGUGAGCAAUCUGCCUUGUACUGGGGGAUAACGUCGGGAAACCGGCGCUAAUACCGCAUAAUACUAUGAGAUCGCAUGGUCAUAUAGUCAAAACUCCGGUGGUACAAGAUGAGCUCGCGUCCAAUUAGCUAGUUGGUGGGGUAAUGGCCCACCAAGGCGACGAUUGGUAGCCGACCUGAGAGGGUGAACGGCCACACUGGAAUUGAGAAACGGUCCAGACUCCUACGGGAGGCAGCAGUGGGGAAUAUUGGGCAAUGGAGGAAACUCUUACCCAGCAAUGCCGCGUGAAGGAAGAAGGUCUUCGGAUUGUAAACUUCUGUUAUAGGUGACGAAGAAUGACGGUAGCCUAUGAGGAAGCCCCGGCAAACUAUGUGCCAGCAGCCGCGGUAAUACGUAGGUGGCAAGCGUUGUCCGGAAUUACUGGGUGUAAAGGGCGUGUAGGCGGGAAGGCAAGUCAGAUGUGAAAGCCCAUGGCUUAACUGUGGAAUUGCAUCUGAAACUGUUUUUCUUGAGUGCUGGAGAGGAAAGUGGAAUUCCUAGUGUAACGGUGAAAUGCGUAGAGAUUAAGAGGAACACCAGUGGCGAAGGCGGCUUUCUGGACAGUAACUGACGCUGAGGCGCGAAAGGGUGGGGAACAAACAGGAUUAGAUACCCUGGUAGUCCACGCUGUAAACAAUGGAAACGAGGUGUGGGAGGUAUCGACCCCUUCCGUGCCGGAGUUAACACAAUAAGUAUCCCACCUGGGGAGUACGGCCGCAAGGCUGAAACUCAAAGGAAUUGACGGGGGCCCGCACAAGCAGUGGAGUAUGUGGUUUAAUUCGAAGCAACGCGAAGAACCUUACCAGGGCUUGACAUACCGAUGACCGGGUUAGAGAUAACCCUUCCCUUCGGGGCAUCGGAUACAGGUGGUGCAUGGUUGUCGUCAGCUCGUGUCGUGAGAUGUUGGGUUAAGUCCCGCAACGAGCGCAACCCCUGUUGUUAGUUGCCAUCAUUAAGUUGGGCACUCUAACAAGACUGCCGGUGACAAAUCGGAGGAAGGUGGGGAUGACGUCAAAUCAUCAUGCCCCUUAUGUCCUGGGCUACACACGUACUACAAUGGCGAUUACAGAGGGCAGCGAAACCGCGAGGUGGAGCAAAUCCCUAAAGGUCGCCCCAGUUCAGAUUGCAGGCUGAAACUCGCCUGCAUGAAGUAGGAAUUGCUAGUAAUGGCAGGUCAGCAUACUGCCGUGAAUACGUUCCCGGGCCUUGUACACACCGCCCGUCACACCAUGAGAGUUGACAACACCCGAAGUCAGUAGCUUAACCGCAAGGAGAGCGCUGCCGAAGGUGGGGUUGAUGAUU
rnacentral:rRNA from 1 species